UACGGAGGGUGCAAGCGUUAAUCGGAAUUACUGGGCGUAAAGCGCACGCAGGCGGUCGAUCAAGUCGCGUGUGAAAGCCCCCGGCUCAACUGGGGAGGGUCACGCGAUACUGAUCGACUCGAAGGCAGGAGAGGGUAGUGGAAUUCCCGGUGUAGUGGUGAAAUGCGUAGAUAUCGGGAGGAACACCAGUGGCGAAGGCGACUACCUGGCCUGUUCUUGACGCUGAGGCGCGAAAGCUAGGGGAGCAAACGGG
rnacentral:rRNA from 1 species